rnacentral:rRNA from 1 species
CGGGUGAGUAACACGUAAGUAAUCUACCUUCGAGUGGGGAAUAACGUCCGGAAACGGACGCUAAUACCGCAUAAUGCAGCGGCAUCGUAAGAUGACAGUUGUUAAAGAUUUAUCGCUUGAAGAGGAGCUUGCGGCAGAUUAGCUAGUUGGUAAGGUAAUGGCUUACCAAGGCUACGAUCUGUAACCGGUCUAAGAGGACGGUCGGUCACACUGACACUGAAUAACGGGUCAG